UCCCUGGUGGUGUAAAGGUUAAGGCUCAGCACUGUCACUGCUGUGGCCUGGGUUCGAUCCCCAGCCAGGGAG